rnacentral:lncRNA from 1 species
GGACAAUGCAGAGUCCUGGAAGUGAGGCUGACCGCUGACCGCUGUCAGGAGGGACAUGGACCGCUGCCGGGGAAUCAUGGGAUUUCCCACCGGCCCAGUCAUCUCCCACGUCGGGAAAAGGGAAGAGCUGCUUCCCCAUGGCGUGUGCGCGUGGGAAGGGUCUCGGGCAGAGAAGAGGCACUUUUUCUGUCCUCCAGGCUGUUUCCGCCAAAUGAAGACCUGGGCUGGAAGAGCCAGGAACAAAGAGGAGAGUCGAGUGCUGAGCACCCAGCGGGAGAGGAUGCAGCCCGGUCAUCUCACACCUGCUGACCACACAACAUCGUCUGCGAGUUCCCCCCACCUACUUCGCCUGCAGCUGCCAUUUGGGAAGAUGACUCUUGCCUCUUUCACCGUCUGUUUUUUAGAUUAGGACUCACGGGCCUAGGGCAGGAGUCAGCUCUUCCAGAUCUUUAUCGAAAAGUAACAUCACACUUGUGCCCAGGGGUUCGAGACCAGCCUGGGCAACAGGACAAACCCCCUUCUCUACAAAAAAACCCACAAAAUCUGUGUGGAAGGUGUGUGAACCCUUGGGAAACAGAGUUGCUGUACACGUGUAUCAGGCCCUGAGCCAGCUGCAGGGUGGGCAUUACUGCUUGGUGCCCUCCGCCCUCACUCUUCCUCCCUGGAUGUUGAGGAUGGCCCCGUAAACCUUGUUCAUAGGGGUCCCUCGUUUUCUGAGACACCUCAUCUGAGCACUGACGAGGGGACACAACUCUUGGCUGGGAAGCAGGAGACUGAGCAUUGCCUUCAAGCCAUCCCCACACAUGUGACCUCAGUCAGCAUUCUGCCCUUUCAUGGGUGUCAGUUGUCUCGUCCAUAAAAUGGGAUGAUGUUCUUGUUCCAGCCGGCAUACUGGAUGACUAAAUGAGGGAACAGUGAGAGAAUCGAGGCCUCAAGUUUGAUGGAAAACUGCUGGAUUUGAAGUCAAAGACCUGUAUUUAAGUUCCAGUUCAAACACUGACUUCAUGCCUCUGGGCAAGCAAUAUACCUUCUCUUAGCCUCCAUUUCAUUGUCUGUGAAAAAGGGAUAAUUACAGCAGCCUUACUUAAAAGAGUUACUUAAAAGACCAAGUGAGAGAAUGUGUAUAAAGGAAGUUGUGUAAACUUCGAAGCAUCAUAAAGGUAUGAAAUUACUAUUGUUGUGGUUACUGAUAAUGACUAGAACUCAGGCCAAAUAAACUCUACA